rfam:Brassica oleracea var. oleracea cultivar TO1000 chromosome C4, whole genome shotgun sequence
GGAAUAUAAGAACCCGUCUCUUAACUUUUAACUAAAAAAAUUAAGAACCGACUUUUAAAACUUUUAUUUAAGAACCGGUUCUUAAUUUUUUUAGUUAAAAGUUAAGAGACAGGUUUUUAUAUUCC